GACGAACGCUGGCGGCGUGCUUAACACAUGCAAGUCGAGCGGAAAGGCCCCUUCGGGGGUACUCGAGCGGCGAACGGGUGAGUAACACGUGAGUAAUCUGCCCUUCACUUUGGGAUAACCCCCGGAAACGGGAGCUAAUACCGGAUACGACCAUUCCAGGCAUCUGGUGGUGGUGGAAACUUUUUUGGGUGAGGGAUGUGCUCGCGGCCUAUCAGCUUGUUGGUGGGGUAAUGGCCUACCAAGGCUUUGACGGGUAGCCGGCCUGAGAGGGUGACCGGCCACACUGGGACUGAGACACGGCCCAGACUCCUACGGGAGGCAGCAGUGGGGAAUAUUGGACAAUGGGCGGAAGCCUGAUCCAGCAACGCCGCGUGAGGGAUGACGGCCUUCGGGUUGUAAACCUCUUUCAGCACCGACGAAGCGUGAGUGACGGUAGGUGCAGAAGAAGGACCGGCCAACUACGUGCCAGCCGCCGCGGUAAGAC
rnacentral:rRNA from 1 species